GGACACAUAGCUCAACGGCAGAGCAUCGGUCUUCGGAACCGAAGGUUGGGGGUUCGAAUCCUCCUGUGUUCG
rnacentral:tRNA from 2 species